GACGAACGCUGGCGGCGUGCUUAACACAUGCAAGUCGAACGGUAAGGCCCUUCGGGGUACACGAGUGGCGAACGGGUGAGUAACACGUGGGUGAUCUGCCCUGCACUUCGGGAUAAGCCUGGGAAACUGGGUCUAAUACCGGAUAGGACUCCUGCCUGCAUGGGUGGGGGUGGAAAGCUUUUGCGGUGUGGGAUGGGCCCGCGGCCUAUCAGCUCGUUGGUGGGGUGAUGGCCUACCAAGGCGACGACGGGUAGCCGGCCUGAGAGGGUGACGGGCCACACUGGGACUGAGAUACGGCCCAGACUCCUACGGGAGGCAGCAGUGGGGAAUAUUGCACAAUGGGCGCAAGCCUGAUGCAGCGACGCCGCGUGAGGGAUGACGGCCUUCGGGUUGUAAACCUCUUUCAGCACAGACGAAGCGCAAGUGACGGUAGGUGCAGAAGAAGGACCGGCCAACUACGUGCCAGCAGCCGCUGUAA
rnacentral:rRNA from 1 species